rnacentral:rRNA from 1 species
AUUGAACGCUGGCGGCAGGCUUAACACAUGCAAGUCGAGCGGGGAAGGGUAGCUUGCUACCUAACCUAGCGGCGGACGGGUGAGUAAUGCUUAGGAAUCUGCCAUUUAGUGGGGGACAACAUUCCGAAAGGAAUGCUAAUACCGCAUACGUCCUACGGGAGAAAGCAGGGGAUCUUCGGACCUUGCGCUAAAUGAUGAGCCUAAGUCGGAUUAGCUAGUUGGUGGGGUAAGGGCCUACCAAGGCUACGAUCUGUAGCGGGUCUGAGAGGAUGAUCCGCCACACUGGGACUGAGACACGGCCCAGACUCCUACGGGAGGCAGCAGUGGGGAAUAUUGGACAAUGGGCGGAAGCCUGAUCCAGCCAUGCCGCGUGUGUGAAGAAGGCCUUAUGGUUGUAAAGCACUUUAAGCGAGGAGGAGGCUACUUAGAUUAAUACUCUAGGAUAGUGGACGUUACUCGCAGAAUAAGCACCGGCUAACUCUGUGCCAGCCGCCGCCGUAAUAC